rnacentral:rRNA from 1 species
UACGUAGGGUGCGAGCGUUAAUCGGAAUUACUGGGCGUAAAGCGUGCGCAGGCGGUUUUGUAAGCCAGGUGUGAAAUCCCCGGGCUCAACCUGGGAAUGGCAUUUGGGACUGCAAGGCUGGAGUGUGGCAGAGGAGACUGGAAUUCCUGGUGUAGCAGUGAAAUGCGUAGAUAUCAGGAGGAACACCUGUGGUGUAGACAGCUUACUGGACCACUUCUGACGCUGAGACACGAAAGCGUGGGUAGCAAACAGG